rnacentral:rRNA from 1 species
AUGAAGAUAGUUCAUCAGAAAAUCAAGCGAGGGGAUUGCAUCGAGGUGCUGACGGAGGCUCGGCACCUUCUUGAUGUGGCGGUGGCACUACCGACUUCCCAGCAGCUUCCUUUGGUGAGGGAGGUGGCUCGACCCAGCCAUGGCGCUAGCGUUGCAGAUUCCGGCGGCCAUGAGAUUGUACAUCACCCACGCUUGUACUAUGGAUCCUUGGAUGACAAGACACAUACUCAUAUCCGCUCGUUGUACAACAGAGAGUUAUCCAAUUGGCGGAUCCAUGACAUGUGUGGGAGCAAGGGAACCAGAGGUGUGGGCCAUCUAUUGCUAGAGGCCACCAUCAUGUACUGCCGAGAGAUUAUAUACCUCUUGAUGAUCCUUGUCUUGUCCGGUGACAUCUUGGAUGCACAGAUUGUCAUUGACUCACUUGGUAUCUCCAUGAAGGUAGAGGAUGGAAGAUCAAAUUGA